AGUGACGAUAGCCUAGGAGAUACACCUGUACCCAUGCCGAACACAGAAGUUAAGCCCUAGAACGCCGGAAGUAGUUGGGGGUUGCUCCCUGUGAGAUAGGGAAGUCGCUUAGCU
rnacentral:rRNA from 1 species